rnacentral:rRNA from 1 species
GACGAACGCUGGCGGCGUGCUUAACACAUGCAAGUCGAACGAAGUGGCGAACGGGUGAGUAACGCGUAAUCAACCUGCCCUUCAGAGGGGGACAACAGUUGGAAACGACUGCUAAUACCGCAAACUGAAGGAGGGGUUUGCGUCUGAUUGGCUCGUUGGGGGGGUAACGGCCCACCAGGGCGAUGAUCAGUAGCCGGUUUGGAGGGAUGAACGGGCACAUGGGGACUGAGAAACGGCCCAGAAGCCUACGGGAGGGAGCAGUGGGGGAUCUUCCGCAAUGGACGAAAGUCUGACGGAGCAACGCCGGGGGAGUGAUGACGGCCUUCGGGUUGUAAAGCUCUGUUAAUCGGGACGCGGUACCGGAAUAGAAAGCCACGGCUAACUACGUGCCAGCAGCCGCGGUAAUUC